AUUGAACGCUGGCGGAAUGCUUUACACAUGCAAGUCGAACGGCAGCACGGGGCAACCUGGUGGCGAGUGGCGAACGGGUGAGUAAUACAUCGGAACGUGCCCAAUCGUGGGGGAUAACGUAGCGAAAGUUACGCUAAUACCGCAUACGAUCUACGGAUGAAAGCGGGGGAUCGCAAGACCUCGCGCGAAUGGAGCGGCCGAUGUCAGAUUAGGUAGUUGGUGGGGUAAAGGCUCACCAAGCCAACGAUCUGUAGCUGGUCUGAGAGGACGACCAGCCACACUGGAACUGAGACACGGUCCAGACUCCUACGGGAGGCAGCAGUGGGGAAUUUUGGACAAUGGGCGCAAGCCUGAUCCAGCCAUUCCGCGUGCAGGAUGAAGGCCUUCGGGUCGUAAACUGCUUUUAUGUGCGAAGAAUAUGACGGUAACACAUGAAUAAGGGUCGGCUAACUACGUGCCAGCAGCCGCGGUAAUAGUCACGUCGCG
rnacentral:rRNA from 1 species